CUAUUCUGUACUGAAUCAGCAUGGGAUAGAGUGCCUAGAAGACGUUCAGACCAAGCACAGCUAGCGCGUCCCUGCUGGUUCUCCAUUCUGCAUCCGUGCAGCCACGUUCUAUUGAUGGCCUGUUGUGAUUUCAAUGGAACAUCAUGGGAUGUACCUGGCACGUCGGGCAGCACUGGAUGGAGGUGCCUUUAGCCCAAUGUACCUGGCAUGGUGGUAAAGGUGAAGGU
rnacentral:lncRNA from 1 species